AUAGUAAUAAUAAUAAUGAUAACACAUUUAGGCAGUGGGCUGCAAUGUCGGCGUUUAACUCUUGUGCUUGCCCAGAAACGUCAUUAAAAGCGUCAUCAUCUUGCUCUCCGGCUGUAGAUGGAAUUGCUAUGGAAUGGUAUCAGUUUGACAGAAACUGUUCAUGUAAAGAUGUUUGAACGAAAGUGCUUCUCUGUAUCCGGUAGCAGUGAUGUGCAGCUCUGUACCUGUGAAUAGAAAUAAAACAAUAAAUUUACUGGCAUGAUGACACAAUAAAAAUAGACGGCACCUCGGCCCAUACCCCUCAGACCUCCUUUUCGUCUAGGGCUGUAGUCCUUGCAGGUUGUGUGGAACAAUCCUCCAAGAAACAUAACAUCGAAUUAGCAAAUCUCAAGCCAUAAAACUUAUAAGUCAUAGAAUCGAAUGUGUUUUUUAUAGUCUGAAAUAAAAAGUCCUGGUUUCUGUUAUUAAUCAAAUCGAAUUUGCGUCUUAUCUCACCACUAAAUAUGCCCUGAAUAAAUCCACUUUGGGCUUUAUCAAUAAUGUGUGAUAUGGCAGAUUUUACCCUUAGUGCCAGAAAAUUAGAAAGUAUUCUGAUAUCUAGUAUUGUCAACAAUGGCUGUCGGACACUCGGCCGCCAUGUCAACUCUGGUGGGUGACGGGAUACCGACGCAUGUCACCGUGGUGAUGGUUACCGUGGCCACCGAAUGAUUGACAGCUAAGGAGACCACGUGCAUCGGGCCAUUUCAAAUUCGGUGAGUGACGGGAUGUCGCCACAUUGUCACCAUGGUGACGGUUCCCGUGCCGACCGGAAUGAUUGACAUGUGAUUACAGCACGUGUUCCGUGGUCCGCGACUCCGGGGCGGGUUACAUUUUAUUUGGCAUCGGAAUUCAAUAUGAAGUACAUCAAGAAAAUAUAACGUACAUGAGGCUAAAGACACAAUGUAUCCAAAGUGUGUCCUCAAGAUUUUCGUCGCUCACUAUAGCUAUGUAUGAUGAUUAUGUAUGGUUAUAAUGUCUUAUAUGUUCCCAGGAAGCCCAUUCAUGGAAGCUGUUUUUGUUGGCAGAAUGAUUGACAGCUAACCGGACCACGUACACCAGGAGUACACUAGUAUAUCAUCUCCAGCGAAGGAUGGGAUAUUGAAGCACUUCACCGAGGGUGUCAGAGCUCCGAUCUCUAUGCAGUCAAGGGACUCCUGUCUUGGCCCUGACUGCAUCUGCAGACCUUAAGACACGGAAGGAUAUCGUCCGCCUCCUAGGAAUGAGCUCGGAAACCACUUAUGUAGAGGCAAGGUUGGAUAGAACAAACAUAAGACUAAGCGCUGUGCGUGUGAAGUCAACAGACUUUACCUGCCUUGAUUGGGUUGUUUCUGGGUUGAAGACACAUGGUACUUCAUUUGACAAAGUGAUCAUCUACUGUAAAAGUUUCCCGGCUGUUGGGGCUAUUUACAAACAUCUAGUGAGACAGGGUGGUGAUCAAGCUUAUGUUGGCACAAAGCGCUCUGACCACUGUCUUGUUGCAAUUUAUCAAAGUGAAACCCUUGAAGAGAAGAAAGAACAUGUAAUGAGCUCCUUUGUUUAGUCAUGCUCAGUAGCCCGUGUUAUCGUUGCAACAACUGCACUGAGCAUGGGUAUCAACUUUCCUGAUGUUAGGUAUAUUGCA